GAUGAACGCUGGCGGCGUGCCUAAUACAUGCAAGUCGAGCGAACGGACGAGACGCUUGCUUCUCUGAUGUUAGCGGCGGACGGGUGAGUAACACGUGGAUCACCUACCUAUCAGACUGGGAUAACUUCGGGAAACCGGCGCUAAUACCGGAUAAUAUUUUGAACCGCAUGGUUCAAAAGUGAAAGUCGGUCUUGCUGUCUCUUCUAGCUGGAUCCGCGCUGCAUGAGCUAGUUGGUAAGGUAACGGGUUACCACGGCAACUAUGCAUAGACGAACUGAGAGGGUGAUAGGCCACACUAGAAGGUGGACGCGGUCCUUGCUCCUACGAGAGGCAGCAGAAGGCAAUGGGCCGCAGUAGGCGAAAGCCUGACGGAGCAACGGCGCGUGUGAGGUGGAGGUGCUCGGAGCGUAAUGCCCGCUUACGAGUGAAGAACAGAUGUGGAAGGAAAUGAACAGAGCGUGACGGUACCGAAUCAGAAAGCCACGGCUAACUACGUG
rnacentral:rRNA from 1 species